rnacentral:rRNA from 1 species
UUUGAUCCUGGCUCAGAUUGAACGCUGGCGGCAGGCCUAACACAUGCAAGUCGAGCGGUAACAGAUUGAUAGCUUGCUAUCAAUGCUGACGAGCGGCGGACGGGUGAGUAAUGCCUGGGAAUAUGCCCUGAUGUGGGGGAUAACUAUUGGAAACGAUAGCUAAUACCGCAUAAUCUCUUCGGAGCAAAGAGGGGGACCUUCGGGCCUCUCGCGUCAGGAUUAGCCCAGGUGGGAUUAGCUUGUUGGUGGGGUAAUGGCUUACCAAGGCAACGAUCCCUAGCUGGUCUGAGAGGAUGAUCAGCCACACUGGAACUGAGACACGGUCCAGACUCCUACGGGAGGCAGCAGUGGGGAAUAUUGCACAAUGGGGGAAACCCUGAUGCAGCCAUGCCGCGUGUAUGAAGAAGGCCUUCGGGUUGUAAAGUACUUUCAGUUGUGAGGAAGGCAGUAAAGUUAAUAGCUUUGCUGUUUUGACGUUAGCAACAGAAGAAGCACCGGCUAACUCCGUGCCAGCAGCCGCGGUAAUACGGAGGGUGCGAGCGUUAAAUCGGAAUUACUGGGCGUAAAAGCGCAAUGCAGGUGGUCUGUUAAGCAAGAUGUGAAAGCCCGGGGGCCUC